UGGGGAAUAUUGCACAAUGGGCGCAAGCCUGAUGCAGCCAUGCCGCGUGUAUGAAGAAGGCCUUCGGGUUGUAAAGUACUUUCAGCGAGGAGGAAGGCGUUGUGGUUAAUAACCGCAACGAUUGACGUUACUCGCAGAAGAAGCACCGGCUAACUCCGUGCCAGCAGCCGCGGUAAUACGGAGGGUGCAAGCGUUAAUCGGAAUUACUGGGCGUAAAGCGCACGCAGGCGGUCUGUCAAGUCGGAUGUGAAAUCCCCGGGCGCAACCUGGGAACUGAAGCAGAAACUGGCAGGCUAGAGUCUUGUAGAGGGGGGUAGAAUUCCAGGUGUAGCGGUGAAAUGCGUAGAGAUCUGGAGGAAUACCGGUGGCGAAGGCGGCCCCCUGGACAAAGACUGACGCUCAGGUGCGAAAGCGUGGGGAGCAAACA
rnacentral:rRNA from 1 species